UGAGUCAUCCGUGGGAGCACAGGUGAAGGCAAUUCAGCUGUGUGACCAGAAGGGGUGGAACCUGGCUGCACCUCUCCUAGACUCCACUUAAGGACAGACUGCCCCUCAGGAAGGCUCUCUUUCUGGAGAUUGCUGCUCUGUGGAGUCUUCCCUGCAAACCGAGAUCUUUGGAUACAGUCUCUUCUGUCUCCUCGGUUUUUCCUUCUUGAUGUUACAGUUCCUCUGAAGAACCUUCCAAUUUGUUUGUGCCCUUCAGUCAAAUUCCAAGCCCUUCCAAAUGGAGCAUUUUGGCAGCACUUCAUCCUCUGCUUAUGGACGGUUGUUCACUCCACGGUCUGCAGUUUGCCUUCUACAGCUCAUCACUUCCUCGCUGUACUUCUGGGGGACACAGCAGUUCAAGUGUUUCCUUGUGUUGCAAUUCUCAACAGGCUGGUACCAAAAUAUCAUUUAAGAAGUACUGAAAUGCAACAACACCUAAUGCUGUAAAGGCGAUGUAAGCAGUUUAGAAGGAUUAUUUUACACUCCCAUUAUUCACUGUCCUAGAACACCCUUCUCCCAGCUUGCAUUUUCACUACCAUUGCUAUUAGAAUAAAGCCAAUUGUUUAAAUGAUCAGAAUAUAUGAAUUUUAGCAAGCCUGCUAAAACUGAGACAAAUUGUUUCUGAUUCUGUGAUUGUUCUUUUUGUUAGCUGCAAAAAACCAGUAACACAUUUUAAGAGUCUGUUUCUUAUUAAGAUUUAGAAUACUCAAUUCUUCUGAUAUCUGAGCUUCAAAAUAUGCAGCUCAAUGUUCCCUUACACCUCAAAGCUGAUUUAUUUGAAGAAGAAAAUUGCAUUAAAGUUUCCUGACAUCAUAAACAGCAGAUGCAGUUGCUGUGUACUGUGAAUUCUAUUUCUUGCCCCGCUGAUCUAGUGUCCUUACUGGAACGUAGGCUCUGGAAACAAAGGCAGGCACACAAGGUGUACAGUACAGAUUGCAACUACAACUUGAUUUUUUAUUUUAAUUUUUUAUUUGUGUAUAGAUUGACCACUCUUUGGGAGGAUGAAGAGCAGAAAAAAGGAACAGGGCUCCAACCCCCCAUUAUCUGUUACAGUACACCCAAUGUGCCUGUGAAGCCCGUUUAGCACGGCAGGGGCAGCACCUUGCCACAUGUGUUUCUUGGACUGCGUGAGCUGGCACGACUUACAUCAUUUGGCUGAUGUAAGGCACCCAGUUUGACCUUCAGUAUGUUGCUAUGUAGUUGCUAGGGAUGCAAGUUCUAUUAGAUAAAGCACAGUUACACAUCUGUUAUGACAAAAUACAGAACUAGAAGAAAUAAUGGCGUAUUUACCCAGCAACUCCUGCACCAGU